ACCUUGACGGUACCUAACCAGAAAGCCACGGCUAACUACGUGCCAGCAGCCGCGGUAAUACGUAGGUGGCAAGCGUUAUCCGGAAUUAUUGGGCGUAAAGCGCUCGCAGGUGGUUUCUUAAGUCUGAUGUGAAAGCCCCCGGCUCAACCGUGGAGGGUCAUUGGAAACUGGGAGACUUGAGUGCAGAAGAGGAAAGUGGAAUUCCAUGUGUAGCGGUGAAAUGCGUAGAGAUAUGGAGGAACACCAGUGGCGAAGGCGACUUUCUGGUCUGUAACUGACACUGAGGCGCGAAAGCGUGGGGAGCAAACAGGAUUAGAUACCCUGGUAGUCCACGCCGUAAACGAUG
rnacentral:rRNA from 1 species